rnacentral:pre_miRNA from 1 species
GUACAGUUGUGUGGGGAUAGUGUUCAGCACCAGGGACAGGUAUAGUUGUGUACGUUGAUGGUGUUCAGCACCAGGGACAGGUAAAGUUAUGC